rnacentral:rRNA from 1 species
UACGUAGGGGGCGAGCGUUGUCCGGAUUUAUUGGGCGUAAAGAGCUCGUAGGCGGUUCGAUAAGUCGGACGUGAAAUCUCCACGCUCAACGUGGAGGGGCCGUUCGAUACUGUCGUGACUCGAGUCCGGUAGGGGAGUGUGGAAUUCCCGGUGUAGCGGUGAAAUGCGCAGAUAUCAGGAGGAACACCAAUGGCGAAGGCAGCACUCUGGGACGUGACUGACGCUGAGACGCGAAAGCGUGGGGAGCAAACAGG